GAAACACCCACAGUGACUCACCGGAAGCAGAGGAAGAUAAGCCACCCUGAGACAGAUUGUACACAUGACACUGAAAAAGUACCUGGGACUCCCCACAUCACGGCAGAUGGAGGAACAACCACACACCCACUCAGGGCUGGAGGCUCCGCUCCGUGGGGCCAAACAUAACAAUAACUUUUGAGCUGUAGAAAUGCAGGCAAGAUGUUCACAAAUCAACCAAACUACAACUCAGGAGCGUGUGGCAGAGCCAGAGUUCUUCCUCCCUCUGCUGGACGUGUGCUGGCAGUGCCGCUCACUGUAAUGAUACAUUAAUCCUUGGAAGUACCCUACCAACAGCUUGCCCCAGCAUACACUGCAAGCAUGCAUGUGUAUAAAUGGCACCCCGGCUCAGGUGGGUGGCUGGGA